GUUUAUAUACUUUCUCUGCUCCCACUCAUCAGCGGACAUUCCAUUCUAAGCCCUUCAAAGGGACAAGGUUUCUAUGAUUCUGUUUUUCUUCUUUGUGGGAAGGAUUCCUCCCCGACAGGAGCUUAGCAGCAGCUAAGAAACGUGACCCCAAGGUCACAUUCAAAUUAGAACUCAGUAAAACCCCAGGGUUUGUUGCUUUCUGGCUCUAAAGGAAACUCAGAAUGACAACGGUGGCUGGAUAUUCUACCGUAGGUCUCCCCUGCUGAUCUCUGCUGCUUUCAAGCCUCAAAGAUGCCAGGACUGGCAGAAGACAGCUGAGUGUAAAACA
rnacentral:lncRNA from 1 species